UACGUAGGGGGCAAGCGUUGUCCGGAAUUACUGGGCGUAAAGCGUGCGCAGGCGGCUUUGCAAGACAGAUGUGAAAUCCCCGGGCUCAACCUGGGAACCUGCAUUUGUGACUGCAAGGCUGGAGUACGGCAGGAGGGGGAUGGAAUUCCGCGUGUAGCAAGUGAAAUGCGUAGAUAUGCGGAGGAACACCGAUGGCGAAGGCAAUCCCCUGGGCCUGUACUGACGCUCAUGCACGAAAGCGUGGGGAGCAAACAGG
rnacentral:rRNA from 1 species